CGUUGGUGACCCCUGCUGUAUAGUUUUGAUUUCAGGAUAUUGAUGAAUGACACAUUUUAACAGAGGGCAUAAUGUCAGGCGCAGAAGCACAGAACCCUGAGAUGUCAAACGUCCCACAAUCCCAGAGUGAGGCUGACAAACUACGACCCACCAGGGAGUCACAAGUCUACACUGCAACCAGAGAAACCCUCUUCCCGAAGGAGAUCACGUGCACUAGAACACAUGCAUUGUCACUUGACUGGGUCAACGGUGUGAACUCUACCCUUCCUGUAUACAUUCUGCAAGACCACAGCCAGCUAGUGUUCCUCUAUGCUGGAGCUCACGUUGCGAUCAUCUAUAAUCAUACCACAAACUCCCAACACAUACUUCAGGGUUACUGCAGCCCCAUUUCGUGUUUGUGCGUCAGUCAAGACAGACGAUGGAUUGCAACAGCAGACCAGAGCACGAAAAGCACCGUAAUCAUCUGGGAUUCGUACUCUGGCAUUCCUGUGAACACUUUGUUCGACUGCCAUCCUAACGGGGGAGUCAUUGCGAUUGCAUUUUCGGGAGACACCAAGCAACUGGUGACCCUUGGGAGUGAAAAAAAUCAAUGUGUGUGUGUCUGGGCUUGGACAAAUGACUCCCAAGAGCCCCUGUGGCUCACCGAGCUCAGCCCUGAAUAUGGUUAUCAAAAUGACAUCAUUUAUAACCCAAAGAACAGCACCCAGCUGCUGAGUAGCAGUGCAAGUCAGGUGUUGUUUUACAGCACGGCGCAGGGCAAUCUGCAGUAUGUUCCCCUCAAGAUUAUUAAGCUGGGGGAUGCGGCCACCCUGGAACUCAACGCGUCUCUGUUCCCGCAAACCACACCCGAGUACUGCAACAUCCGCAACUUAGCCCGCGGGCCUCUAAAUCCCUCUGUGUUUCACUGGCAAGAUUUCAAGGUGAUAACGCCCACGGCGUCAGGCAUCGUCAUGAUCUGGGAGCUGACGCAGGACCUGGCGUCCAACCAAAACCUGAGCAGAGACAGAGUCAAGGUCAUCUCCCUGCAGGAGCAUCCCAUCACAUUUCUCACCGUAACAGACAGCUGUAUUGUCACCGGAGACACCCGCGGUCAUAUCAACUUUUACGAUGAAAACAUGUUGCUCCUGACUUGGUACAACCAGUUGAACCUGGACACCAUUGCUUCCAUUUCCUUUUCCAAAGAAUGUUCACGAGGAUGUCUGGCGGAUUGCACCAUGGAAGCCAAACCACUACUUAGCAGGAACUUUGUGGUGUCCACGGUCAGCUCCAAGAUGGUUCAUGUGAAUGUUCGGAAAGGCACGUCCCAGGUCAUCCUGCAGGAGAACUGUGACCCCAUCCACGCGGUGGCCUGCCAUCCCACACAGCCAGUGAUGGUCAUGGGCAACCACAAGGGCAGCUUGAAGGUCUGGGACUACGAGCGGAAGCGGACCGCCCGCAGCAAGGUCUUUGAGAAAGAGAAAGAGAUUCAGUGCGUCACGUUCGACCCUCAAGGGCUUCACCUGGCUGUCGGCUUUGGAAGUGGAGCCGUUCACUUUCUGGAUCCAAACACUUUGCAAAGUAAUCCAAAGGAAUGCUUUGAUUCCCCCAGAGACAGCAUCAGUCACAUGAGUUUUUCCUCAGACUCCAGAUACCUUGCCACUGUGGAUGUUGGGAAAGCCGUAACCAUAUUCCGCUCGCAAACCAAUGACGACUCACCGCCCCAGUGGACCUACCUGGGCAGAUAUCGCUCCCACUACAAGCCCAUCACGGACCUUCUCUUUGGGAUGCACCUGGACAGCAACCAGCCCAGGCUGUUCACCCUGGGCAUGGACCGCAUGUUGGUGGAGUAUGACCUGGAGAACAGUGACACGGACCAGAUUGUCAUCUCCAGCACAAAGCGUAUUGAGCAAAGUGCUGUGCCAAAGUGCAUGACGUGGUACCCGCCCUUAUGUGCCGAGCAAUUUGUCGUCAUUUCCUCGGACCAAUACAAGAUGAAGCUUUUCAACAGCACCACCAAGAAGUGCAGAAAGACUCUCCUCGGCCCUACAUAUGGAAGUCCCGUGAAGAAAAUCGAGAUUUUACCAACAUCAAAAGACAACGAGACUGGAUCUUACUACAUGGCCUACAUCACGGAGGACAAGAUCGGGGUCCAGAUUCUGCCUCUGGAUGGGAACCCCUUCAAGUCCCAUGCUGUCGUCUGCCAUCCGACGGGCGUGUCCACUUUUGCCUACUCACAUGACGGACUCUUUCUUUUCACCGCCGGGGGAAGGGACUGCACUGUGCUGUCAUGGCAGAUAAGCUACAAUGCACUGGAGGGAGCGGCAGCUUUGGGGGGAAAGGAUUUGAUGCCUUUUUACACUCUUUUAGAGGGAGGCAAGGAUGGCAAAUUCUACAGAGAAAUUGAGGACUUUUUCUACUACUGCCAAAUCCAUAAUCAAGGUCUUGAGUCAAUGGACACACGGCAGCUGUCUAGCAAAAUUCCUCUGACGGAAGUCAUCCCGUUAAUGCGGGCUUUGGCCUACUUCCCUACCGAAGAAGAGAUAGAAGACAUGCUAAAUGAGAUCAAGCUCAGCAAAUACGCCGAAACGGGAGAGUACACGACGGACAUCAACCUGGAGGAGUUCAUCAAGCUCUACAUCAACCACCGGCCGGCCUUUGGCAUCUCCAGAGAUGAGAUCGCUGAAGCUUUCCGCGUCCUGGGAGAUGCUAGCAGAGCAGGACAGCCUGUUCUGCAGAGACACGAGCUGCUGGAACUCUUGCAGGUCCGAGAAUGCACUCGGCUGAUUGCGGAAACUGCCAAGUGCCCCAAUACAGUUGGAUAAACAGAUGCCAAAAUUGCGCAUUACACACUUUUUCUUUUCACUUUUGUUUGUGGAGGAUGUUGUGUUUAUUUUCAAGCCCCGUGUUCAUUCUAUUCUUGAACAGGGGAAGCCAUGACAGAGGAUGAGCUUGCACAGUGUUUCACUUCCCUUUUGGGCUUCAUUGAGGUCCAAGAAGGGGAGAAUCCCGAGCAAACGUUUUCUAAAUCUGAAGAUGUGAGCCAAGAAUAUUGUCUGGAGAGUGUGAUACCGGAG